ensembl:lncRNA
UACAAAGACACCGCCGGUCACAUGGACGUAACGGACCCCGCUGGUGGUAAUAGAGGUUUGACCAAACGAGCUGCAUUUACCAACGCCAGCAACGUUGUUGAACUACUGGCCCCCAUUCACAGUGACAUAUUGUUUCAAGAAAAACUCAUGCUUAACGGCGUGGACAUUAAAAUUCGCAUGACGAGGGCGAAAGAUGAAUUCUGUUUGAUGAGGAGCGACGCUGUGGCCUAUAAACUAAACAUCGUGUCAGCUUCACUGUUGUGAAAAAAGUGUCGGUAUCACCAGGUGUGAGAUUGGGGCACGCACAAGCAUUGCUCUCGACGCCAGCCAAAUACCCCAUCGACAGGGUGUGUGUGAAAAUCUUCUCAAUCCAUGUAGGCUCACGUGUUUAUAAUUAAGAAAACUUGUUCUUAGGAACUCUACCAAAAUCCGUUGUUCUGGCUAUGGUAGAUAAUGACGCGUUUACUGGCUCGAAUAAUAAAAAUCCGUUCGCCUUUAAAAACUAUGACCUAGAAUUUUUGGCAGUUUAUCUGGACGGCCAACAGCACCCCGCUAAACCUCUGCAGCCUGAAUAUGGAAAUGGCUCUGCGGUACGCGAAUUUUACCAGUUAGCGCUGGCUUCUGGAAAGCAUCUUAAAAAUCACCCUCUAGCUAUUGAUAGGGAGGAUUUUCUGCAUGGGUAUACGCUUUAUGCGUUUAACCUCUCGCCGGACAAAGACUGCAGUCAACACGUGUCGCUUAUCAAGUCUGGGAACAUUAGGCUAGAAGCACGUUUUAGACAGCCUCUACCCCGAACGAUCAACUUAAUUGUUUAUGCCAUAUUUGACAGCAUCAUCGAAGUGUCAAAUCGCAGACAGAUCCUGGUUGAUUACUAUUAAUAGGCAAAAUGGACACCAUCCAGCUUACGGCUAUAAUGGAUAAGAUCUCGUGUAAAACCCAUUUUCUCGGCGUACUACCGUGUGACCACCUACCAAAAGCCCCCUUAAGAAAAUCACCAUCCAUGGUGAUAAUCAACACGCAUCCUUCAGGACUCCCGGGUGAACACUGGCUAGCCAUCUACAUAAACGAGAGUGAUUCAACAUUCAGCAGUACAAGUCCAAGAUUUUUCAUCAGAGACCUGCGGCAGCAUUGUGUGUUUCUUCUCUAUCACAUGGUGAAGGGACAUGAUUAUGACCGUGUGUUGAAGAUGUAUACCGGCGAUUUUAUUAAAAAUGACAAGAUGGUGUCAGCAUUUCUGAAAAAACUAAAACUAAAAAAAGGUCUUUGUAAUGAAAAUGUUUUCAAAUGUAUUCGUUGUGUUCAGACAGGUGAAAUGUUUAUGUCUAACACUAGAUUUUUACAAUAAAAACAAAGAAAAGAGAAUUCUUCUU